rnacentral:snRNA from 1 species
GGCUGUGAGGGCGAUCUGGCCGUGACAUCUGUCACCCCAUUGAUCGCCAGGGUUGAUUCCGCUGAUCUGGCUGGCUAGGCGGGUGUCCCCUUCCUCCCUCACCACUCCAUGUGCGUCCCUCCUGAAGCUGCAUGCUUGGUAGAAGAGGACAACCAGCCCUGAUAGAGGAGGACCGUUUCCUCAGUCAAGGGUGUAUGAGUAGCUGAACUCCCCUGCUAGAACCUCCAAGCAAGCUCUCAAGACUGGUGGAAGAGGCCACCUAGCACAGAAAGGUGCCU